GCAGUGGUGGUUCAGUGGUAGAAUUCUCACCUUCCAUGCAAGAGACCUAGCUAGGUUCAAUUCCUGGCCAGUGCG
rnacentral:tRNA from 1 species